GAUGAGCGCUGGCGGCGUGCCUAAUACAUGCAAGUCGAGCGAACGGACGAGAAGCUUGCUUUUCUGAUGUUAGCGGCGGACGGGUGAGUAACACGUGGAUAACCUACCUAUAAGACUGGGAUAACUUCGGGAAACCGGAGCUAAUACCGGAUAAUAUUUUGAACCGCAUGGUUCAAAAGUGAAAGACGGUCUUGCUGUCACUUAUAGAUGGAUCCGCGCUGCAUUAGCUAGUUGGUAAGGUAACGGCUUACCAAGGCAACGAUGCAUAGCCGACCUGAGAGGGUGAUCGGCCACACUGGAACUGAGACACGGUCCAGACUCCUACGGGAGGCAGCAGUAGGGAAUCUUCCGCAAUGGGCGAAAGCCUGACGGAGCAACGCCGCGUGAGUGAUGAAGGUCUUCGGAUCGUAAAACUCUGUUAUUAGGGAAGAACAUAUGUGUAAGUAACUGUGCACAUCUUGACGGUACCUAAUCAGAAAGCCACGGCUAGCUACGUG
rnacentral:rRNA from 1 species